UAAGCACUUGCCUUUGUCCACUGCGACACUGCCUUAUCCUGACCUUUACAAUGGAGUCUGCACCGCACGUAAAAUUCCCCAAUCCAUUCCCGUGCGCCUCUCCGUCUCCUAGUCCCAGACGCCCGCAUCCACUGGAACCGAAGGCGACCAGGUCGACAUGCCGCGGAUUCAGAGCAGUGUGCGGGGUGUCCGGGAGGAGAGCUGUUUCAGGGCUGGCUCUUCUUGGCGCCGCUGCCUCUUGCGCGAAUCUCCUCGCCGUGCCCAUGCCGGUGCAGGCAGCAAUGCUGGAGCCCGAUGUCAUCAGGUACUGCGUGUUGCCUGGUUAUGAACCACUACCGCCCUGUUACUAAAUAUAGAUGGCUUAUUAGAAACAGUGCAGUGUAAAUCUGGCUCAUACUGCACACAAGGGUAUUCAGAUUGGUUUCUUGGAAUAAAUGGUUGGGUUAAAAUGGUAGUAUAAACUUAGUACAAAGUUGAGUCAUCUAUUUUAACGGAGGGAGUAUUAUAUACACAACAAUGACUGUCAAAAUUAUGUGUUGGAAGUCAUAUCAUCACUGCUCAAAAUAUCGUUUAGUAUGUCCUAAGGGUUGGGGGCGGCAGCACCUAGGGUUUGAGGGGGAACCCUGAGUCACCCUGGGCAGGGACAACGCGAGGGACGAGUCGUUUCCACAUAUCAGAAUAGAUGGACUAAUUAUGUUUGUGUGAAAUGAACUGAUUCUUGUGAAAUUCUUACAUUAUGUAUCUUAUAUUUUAUAGUAUGCAUACUGGUUGAUUUAUGUUUGAAGUGUUCAGGUACAGAAAGCUGGACAGUGGAGUAAAGCUUGAAGAUGUAGUCGAUGGCGAAGGGCCGGAGGCUCGGGAAGGCGAUUUAGUGCAAUUCAACUACGUGUGCCGCCGUGCAAAUGGUUAUUUCGUGCAUAGCACGGUGAAUCAGUUCAGCGGCGAGAGUAAGCCGGUGACACUUCGACUCGACGUGCAAGAGAUGAUUCGGGGCCUCAAAGACGUCAUAGUCGGCAUGAAAGCCGGAGGCAAGAGGAGGGCUCUGAUACCCCCUGAAGUAGGCUAUAUCGACGAGAGCUUGCAGCCCGUACCGGAGGAGUUUGGACCACGCCGGAGCCUGCUGUCGCAUGCCAAGGAACCGCUGGUGUUUGAGGUUCAGCUGCUCAAAGUCCUGUGAUCAUUGUCUCAUGAUCAUCACAUGCCAAUGCAGAUAGAAGCUCUCCUGUCCUGUUCUACAAGUGAAGAGAACCACAGUGAUUCUUUUUUGGACUUUUUUCUUCAAAUUUCUUUCUGAUUUUUUUCUUUUCAAACCAUGUGUUUGUUCGUUCUUCCGAAAAAGCAUUCAGCCAGUUGGAUGAAGGUAUAGAAGAGAAGAAAGCACAAGGAUUUCCUUCACAACAGCACUAUCAACUGUGGAGGGUUUCUACCCUUUCCUUCUAUAAUACAGUAUAUGAUACGCACACUCGUGUGUAUUCGAGAAAAAAAAAACAGCACUAUCAACUGGAACUGUCCG
rnacentral:rRNA from 1 species